rnacentral:tRNA from 1 species
GGAUUGUGGCUCGGAGGUAGAGUGCUUGCCUAGUAUGUGUGAGGCACUGGGUUCAAUCCUCAGCACCA